GUUUUAAAAGGUGUGAAUGGAAAAUGAAGAGUUGCGACUUUUAUGAAGAGUUGCGACUUUUAUGAAAUGUUGCGAUUUUUAUGAAGAGUUGCGACUUUUAUGAAAAGUUGCAAAUUUUAUGAAAAGUUCUGACUUUUCUGAAAGGUUAUGACCUGUCCGAAAGACUGUGACUUUUCCAAAGGUUUGUGACCUUUCCAGUAAGGCACAAUAAGAACCUUUUCACACUACCCUUUGUUUUCUAUAAAUUGAGAGAUUUCCUCUCAUUUUAAGAGAAAAAAUUUUCU
rnacentral:lncRNA from 1 species